GACGAACGCUGGCGGCGUGCCUAAUACAUGCAAGUCGAGCGGACUUUAAAAGCUUGCUUUUAAAGUUAGCGGCGGACGGGUGAGUAACACGUGGGCAACCUGCCUGUAAGACUGGGAUAACUUCGGGAAACCGGAGCUAAUACCGGAUAAUUCUUUCCACCACAUGGUGGAAAGCUGAAAGACGGCAUCUCGCUGUCACUUACAGAUGGGCCCGCGGCGCAUUAGCUAGUUGGUGAGGUAACGGCUCACCAAGGCAACGAUGCGUAGCCGACCUGAGAGGGUGAUCGGCCACACUGGGACUGAGACACGGCCCAGACUCCUACGGGAGGCAGCAGUAGGGAAUCUUCCGCAAUGGACGAAAGUCUGACGGAGCAACGCCGCGUGAGUGAUGAAGGUUUUCGGAUCGUAAAGCUCUGUUGUUAGGGAAGAACAAGUACAAGAGUAACUGCUUGUACCUUGACGGUACCUAACCAGAAAGCCACGGCUAACUACGUGCCAGCCGCCGCCGUAAAAC
rnacentral:rRNA from 1 species